UAGAGGGCUUAACUGUCUCCCCAGUGUUUAAAGGUUCAAUGAAAUUGAUCUCCCCGUGCAGUUAAGCGGGAAUACGCUCGUAAGACGAGAAGACCCUAUGGAGCUUUAGACAUAAAGUCACUCACUGUUAAACACCCCCCAAAGGAAGAAAACAAAUUGAACCUUACUGACAUGUCUAUCGGUUGGGAUGACCGCGGAGAAAACUCCACAGAACCCCCGCAUGGACCAAGGCCACUCACCUCAAAAUAGACCCACAGGUCAAAUUUACAGAACCUAAAGGCUGACCACUAAAGACCCGGCACAGCCGACCAUAAUAGACUCCAGUUACCCUAGGGAUAACAGCGCAAUCCCCUCCUAGAGCCCUCAUCGUCGAGGGGGUUUACGACCAGUCGAUGUUGGAUCAGGACAUCCUAAUGGUGCAGCCGCUAUUAAGGGUUCAUUC
rnacentral:rRNA from 1 species